UACGUAGGGUGCAAGCGUUGUCCGGAUUUAUUGGGUUUAAAGGGUGCGUAGGCGGCCUGUUAAGUCAGUGGUGAAAUCCAACAGCUCAACUGUUGAUGUGCCAAUGAUACUGACAGGCUUGAGUACAGAUGAGGUAGGCGGAAUUGACGGUGUAGCGGUGAAAUGCUUAGAUAUCGUCAAGAACACCUAUAGCGAAGGCAGCUUACUAGGCUGUAACUGACGCUGAGGCACGAAAGUGUGGGGAUCAAACAGG
rnacentral:rRNA from 1 species